rnacentral:rRNA from 1 species
UACGUAGGGCGCAAGCGUUAUCCGGAAUUAUUGGGCGUAAAGAGCUCGUAGGCGGUUUGUCGCGUCUGCCGUGAAAGUCCGGGGCUCAACUCCGGAUCUGCGGUGGGUACGGGCAGACUAGAGUGAUGUAGGGGAGACUGGAAUUCCUGGUGUAGCGGUGAAAUGCGCAGAUAUCAGGAGGAACACCGGUGGCGAAGGCGGCUCUCUGGAACGCAACUGACGCUGAGACGCGAAAGCGUGGGGAGCAAACAGG